CCCUGCUUAACCCUCAGCAGCAGCCUGUGCAGUUGUGGCGGGAGAGGGAGGUUGAGGAAUGCCAAAGGAAUGUUGCUGUGUUACUGGAGAGGCGGACUGACUGACUGACUGACUGAUCACACACUGAACAAUGUCUUUGUGUUCCCCGGCCCGACCUCUAGUCACGCAACGCCGUGUGAGCACACUUUCCGUAACCGCUCAGCCCUGCUCACAGAAGAGCUUGAUCAAGUACCUGCAUCUCUACAGGAUCGCGUGCAGUUCAGGUGCUUGGGACGCACUGGAGCGAAUCCAGGUGUGAGUGUAGGAGGGAAAACGCGGUGUGGACAUAAACAUUGGGUGGAACCGAAACAUCUGGCAGUUUGACUCCCAAGAUUUUUGCUGCGUCUUGGAAAUAAACAUCAACACAGGGAACCAACCCGAAUAAAGGAACAACUGGAAAUUAUAACUGCUUAUAUAACGCMGUUUAAAGUUGCAUAUGUGUCUAUUGCAAGGAAAAAUAUAAAGAGGCUGUAUAAAACAACUAUAAUCUCUCAUGAAUGCAUUUAAAUAUUGUAGCAUAUGCAUAAAAAUUGGUGAUUGGAGCCCAACUGAGAUGCAGUGAUUGUGAAUGAAUUAUUUCCGACAUGAUUGUGACAGUUGGCUUCCCGUUGAUUGACCCUUUUGUGUACAAUUCCCACACUCAUCCAGUCCAUUCUAUGGAAAGGUCUGCUCAUCUCCUUAGCCAAGCCGAGUUUAUGCGUGCUAGUAACUUAAAAUACUCCAAAAAUAACAGCAUGCCUGCAGGCAGCGAUACUUCAAGGUGAUGUAAGACAGCGAGCAGAGCUUUCUGUCAGAGAAGGACCUAUUGGAUGUAGCGUUAGUGUUAUUGCUAAAUUCUGCUAAUUUCAUUGAAGCGAGACCAGGAAUAUACAGAAAAUGCCUACUUACUUGCAUCACCAGGACAAAUGUGCACAUUUUGAAUAGAAUUCUGUGUUUUACUCACCUUGGGGGACACUGUUGGAGUAACACAUUGUUGUGGGCGGGGACAUAUCCCAUCUGCCACUGCCCGAAUUCUUUGGGUUAGCGGCUCUCCACAUGGCUCAGUUAAAGGCGCUACAUGGUCAAUCUGACGUCUGUAUUGGCCAUGCAGCAUUUAUGGUGAUGUGGCCUCGGCAGAAGUAAGAUCAUUCAUACUUUUUGCGCUUCGCCGAGCAGCACAGGGCUGUUGUCAAGGAACUUGUCAAUGAAGUGAGUUUGUGUUUAUGCUGGACCUCCAGCCCUCACCUACCACCACCCAAUAAUUUCAAUGCGGAGCUAUAUGGAGCACUCCACAUUGUUACAUUUUAGAGGCACAAGGUGAUGCGGUACGGAGCUCAAUUUGGCCUCUGCGUCCCUCUGGAGACUCCGCGAUUGCAUCACAAUAUCCAUACGGCGCCUCUGACUACAUUUUCGGAUCAAGCAUAAAUUGGCACUCGUGCUGGCUUUCACCGCGUGAGAAGCGACUCUCUGGAACUGUAGAGAUGCAUGAGAAACCACACUCUCCAAACGGCAGGAGCAUGCUACAGUCGAACAAGGCAUCGCAAGGAACUGACUGGACUUUUAAUCCACACCAACGGAUUUAUACUGUUUAAAUAGAUUUUUAUUAAUUAAGCAGGUUUCGUCGGCAUCUGCUCUUUGGUUCGUUGACUAUUGGAUCUCAUUGGAUAGCAUAUCCCUUGACCUACGGCCAGAUGUGCGUGCUGUGCAUUAUGGAGUUAUAUAUCGAGUUAUGUUCAGCUGUGGAUCGAUUUACGCAUGCUUGAGGUUCAACAUUUAGAUUUUGACAUCGACUUUGGAUCUCUUUACGCAUCAUGCUUAUGGAUAUUCAUAUCCCGCGGACCCAUUGGCGACAGUUGCCCAGGAGUUGGGUUUUAACUAUAAAACGCAUCAGCAUCAAUGACACAGGUGGAUGUCAACACGCGCAUUUUUUACUACUUGCCACAUAACGGCCCAUUGCGUAAUGUAAGAAGAAACUCGAUUUUGGAUUGUAAAAUGCCACCCCUGGAUAAGACGUAGCAAGAACAUAUUUUUGCAGUGGUCUUACAGGUGCGUAACAAAUGCCUUGGCGAGUCAGAAUGCCUGGAGAAAACGAAACAACAGGUAUUUCCAGACGUGAUAUGAAGAAAUGGUGUGAGGACAGGACCCCCAAGCCUCUCCCUCCACUGAAAGCUGAGUGGGACAGAGAGGGUGUGAAGAAAGAUGCCCCCCUCUACCCCUUAGUCCUGAAGAGAGACGAAUUAACCAGUUGAAAGAGAGUGACUCACGCUCUCCUCUCUGCUCAUCCAUCCCAUCUGGUUUGUAUUUCUUUGGAUGUUUCUCCGCCUCCAGCCUCUGGGUAGUACCAGCGCCAAGGCCCAGAUGGCUGCCGACCCAGCCCCACCGCGGAGAGCGUACACUGGGUUGGAAAACGCCUGGGCUUGCCUCUUGGCUGGGGUAUGGAUGGUGGGGUAUGGUUGGGAAGGGAAGGGUGGACUUGGCUGGUGAUGGGACUUGGAUGGACCGCACUCCGGCUCUGACGCAACAUCCAUCGAUCAUCCAUCGCAUUGGUUGGUAGUUGAUACCCUCAGCGCUGAGGGCGAGAGCCCAGUCGUGUUGAGGGGUGUUGCGGCGUGGACAGUCAGAGAGUACGCCACAGACUGGCCAGACGUCUCCUAGAUCAGUAACUGAGACUGGCAUCUCAUGGAACUGGCGAGGGCAUCAGUACCAGACUGGUAAACUGGCAUGAGAAACUAUUUUAGACUCUAAAUACCAUGUCUAAAUGUAAUGGUUUUCAGCUCUAGAAGUCAGCAUGGAGAACCUGAUUGGUGCUGUAUUGUAGUCUGUUUUCAACAGACAAGAGCCAUAUGAUAUCAGGAGCAUGUGAAGCACGAUAUCAGGACGACCAACUUUUAAUGACACACGUGUGUUGUUUUGAAGCUCAAAGGGAGUACACACCUGUGAAGGAAGUAGGGCUUAUGUUUGUUUACGUCCGUAUGCUUUGGAGAAAGGUGAAGUGGUCACAUCCUAUGGCACAUGAUCCUUUCUUUAAGGGAGAGAAGAGAGCGAGAGGGAGGGAGAAAGUCAAGGAGGGGUGCCUGAGGGGCAGUCCUUUGUUUCGUUUUGUUUAUUCCUCCACGUGUCUAAAUAAAAAAGGCCUAGAUGGAACCCUAGUGCCUUGGAGUUCUUUGUUCCCACCGACAACAACUUUGUGACACUUCCCAUGCAGUGUGUGUUUCUAAGGGGGGUGGGGGGUCUUUGUGGGGGAAUCAAGACUUGGGAGCGGGGAUUAGAAAGCACUGGGGGCUGAGCAAGGGGGGUUAAGCUUAGUUUGAUGGCAUUUUUAUUGUGGAGUUUGAUUAGCAUGCCCAACACUACACAGCGGGUUUUCUCACACGCCAGUCAUGGGGAGAAAAAUGACUUCUCUCUAUAGCACUCAUAUCACUCCCGCUCCAUAGCUCUGAAUGGAAUGGCCCAACAAAAGGUGACAUAAUUUGUACCCAGGAUCAUAUUGCCCGAUCAGGGGCCUCCUUGAUGACAUCAUGACCCAGUCGCUUUCAACCCUUCCCUGGGAUGCUGGGUUGGCAUGGAAGCGAGUACUUCACUUGAAUUAGUCAUAGUUUGAUGGCCUGUAAAGUUUGAUAUGGCUGUGUUUGCGAUAAACAAGUUUGAGGGUGAGUGACAGGUAAGAUGCAAUAUUUGGGUAUGGCAGGUGUACAUUACACAUACAGUAUCAGUCAAAAGUUUGAGCACACCUACUCAUUCAAGGGUUUUUCAUUAUUUU